rnacentral:rRNA from 1 species
UACGAAGGGGGCUAGCGUUGCUCGGAAUCACUGGACGUAAAGCGCACGUAGGCGGCUUCUUAAGUCAGGGGUGAAAUCCUGGAGCUCAACUCCAGAACUGCCUUUGAUACUGAGGAGCUUGAGUUCGGGAGAGGUGAGUGGAACUCCGAGUGUAGAGGUGAAAUUCGUAGAUAUUCGGAAGAACACCAGUGGCGAAGGCGGCUCACUGGCCCGAUACUGGCGCUGAGGUGAGAAAGCGUGGGGAGCAAACAGG